CGAGUCUGGAACUCCCACUGACUUCAAAAGGAAACUUCUCACCCACGCCAGUAAAUAGAGGAGAACGAACUCCAGCAUUUGUGCGGGAGGCCUUUCAGAAGCCUCACUUCUCUUACAUUCAAGCAAAGAGAGACUUGGGCCACUUUACUUCUGACCGCCCCUCCUCUACUCUGAAAUCGGCUUCUUCUCUCAUUCUCCUGGAGGUUGCACUGAGCAGGGACUGGGAUGCAGAGAAGGAAAGGCACGACUGCUGGGAAAACAGUCUCCUCACAUCCCUUGCCAAAAAUGGAAAAUCCUGCUCACCAGCCAAGGAAGAGAGGGGCGUGAGGCCAACAGUGGCCUUGCCAUUCUUUCUCAGCUUCCGUUAUAGAUGUGCCACAACAUACAAUCAACUGGAUAUGAUGAUUAACUUGCAUUUGCUAAGAUCCUUCAAGAAUCUUAAAUAUCUAUUCGGCUUUGUCUCCACUUCAUGCUCAAUACUCCUCGAGAAAAGCAGCCCCUGAAUUUCCCAAGACCUGCAUCAGGCCCCUCUGCUGUUUAGGAGUGGUAAUGGAACCUAUUUUAUUUGUGGCAGCAACUAGAGCAUCAUCUACCAGACAUAAAGAAUUUUAGCUGGUGAAGAAAUGAGGGCGAAAAAGCAAGGAUUAGACCCAGCCUUAGUAACCAAUAAGAUGGCAGCCGCCAGCUACUUUGGCUACAAAUUACUGUUAACAGUUUACUAUCAGGAAUGAUCCCUCCAAGCAGGCCCUAUUAAAAAAAAAUAAUCACCAUCUGCUAGAGUCCCUUCUUUUUCAUUAAACUGGUCAUUAAUUACUGGUAACAAUUAAUUUAGUCUGGAUUUUAUUGAGUAAUUAUACAAUAAACAUGGGAGGAUAUCGUGCUUCCUGCCUUGCUGAGGGCAGGAAUUCUUUAUAAUGCUAUGUUUCAAAAGGGACUGUAAUAAACCACCAAAUUCCCAUUUAAUAUGGUAAUUAUGAUUCUAGAAAUUCAUCCUUCCUGCGCCUUAUUUCAGCUUAGCUCAGCCUGACUUAACUUGGGCCAUUAAAUAGCACUAGAGUCUUUACCUACUGGUAACAAUAGAUCUUCCAUGCAUUAUUGCCUAAUUAAUCAAGGUGCAUAAUUUGU